rnacentral:rRNA from 1 species
CCUACGGGGCGCUGCAGUGGGGAAUAUUGGACAAUGGGCGAAAGCCUGAUCCAGCCAUGCCGCGUGUGUGAAGAAGGCCUUCGGGUUGUAAAGCACUUUCAGUGGGGAAGAAAGCCUUGGGGCUAAUACCCUCGAGGAAGGACAUCACCCACAGAAGAAGCACCGGCUAACUCCGUGCCAGCAGCCGCGGUAAUACGGAGGGUGCGAGCGUUAAUCGGAAUUACUGGGCGUAAAGCGCGCGUAGGCGGUCUGAUAAGCCGGUUGUGAAAGCCCCGGGCUCAACCUGGGAACGGCAUCCGGAACUGUCAGGCUAGAGUGCAGGAGAGGAAGGUAGAAUUCCCGGUGUAGCGGUGAAAUGCGUAGAGAUCGGGAGGAAUACCAGUGGCGAAGGCGGCCUUCUGGACUGACACUGACGCUGAGGUGCGAAAGCGUGGGUAGCAAACAGGAUUAGAUACCCCAGAGUC